rnacentral:lncRNA from 1 species
CUAGCUAUUACACUCUUCCCUUAAGAAAAAACGAAAAAAGAAGAAAAUCAACCACAAAAACAACAACUAUAAAACUUUUGCACUAACAAUUAAUAAUUUUGAAUGCCUUAACAAAAUUGCAUACAAAGACUUCCUCCUCGAAACUCAUUGGAGACCUUCUUUCUUCUCUUUCUUUUUUCUUUCCUCUUGCUCCCUUUCUUCUCUUUCUACAACCUUGCUGUUCCUCCUGAUUUCCAGUAACCACUUUCCCAUGCUUAAAGUUGCCCUUGAGCACCGUGUGGUUACUCCUCGAAACUCAUUGGAGACCUAAAAUUAUAUCUCCUCAUUCCUUUCUUUCAACAAGUAGAGACGUACACCUCACGUCUCGUGAUUGGUCUCUUUAGCAUGAACAUA